GCUGAGGACUCCUACGGGAGGCAGCAGUGGGGAAUAUUGCACAAUGGGCGCAAGCCUGAUGCAGCCAUGCCGCGUGUAUGAAGAAGGCCUUCGGGUUGUAAAGUACUUUCAGCAGUGAGGAAGGUGGGUAUGUUAAUAGCAUACUCAUUUGACGUUAGCUGCAGAAGAAGCACCGGCUAACUCCGUGCCAGCAGCCGCGGUAAUACGGAGGGUGCGAGCGUUAAUCGGAAUUACUGGGCGUAAAGCGCAUGCAGGUGGUUUGUUAAGUCAGAUGUGAAAGCCCGGGGCUCAACCUCGGAAUUGCAUUUGAAACUGGCAAACUAGAGUACUGUAGAGGGGGUAGAAUUUCAGGUGUAGCGGUGAAAUGCGUAGAGAUCUGAAGGAAUACCGGUGGCGAAGGCGGCCCCCUGGACAGAUACUGACACUCAGAUGCGAAAGCGUGGGGAGCAAACAGGAUUAGAUACCCUGGUAG
rnacentral:rRNA from 1 species